rnacentral:rRNA from 1 species
CAAGCCUACGGGACGCAGCAGUAGGGAAUUUUCGCCAAUGGGCGCAAGCCUGAACGAGCGAUGCCGCGUGAGUGAAGAAGGCCUUCGGGUCGUAAAGCUCUGUUGCGGGGGAAAAAAGGCAGCAUCAGGAAAUGGGUGCUGACUGAUGGUGCCCCGCCAGAAAGUCACGGCUAACUACGUGCCAGCAGCCGCGGUAAUACGUAGGUGGCGAGCGUUAUCCGGAAUGAUUGGGCGUAAAGGGUGCGCAGGCUGUCCUG